CGUUUAGGGCUCAGAAAGCACAGCGCUGCCCGUGUGGGUCCGGAGCUUUCAAAGGAGCGACUGAUCAUCAACUACUGUUGACAAGAGCAGCAGUUCAAUGGGAAGUUCACGGGAGAUCAUGAUCACAGGGACGAGAGCAGGAAGAUGAGGAACCAGAGAGCAAAAAGCCGGCAUUAGAGGAAACCCCUGAAGAAAAGCACAGAGAGCUGAAAUUGAGGAAUUACACUCCAGAGGAUGAAGAGCUAAAGGAGAGACAGGUACC